rnacentral:rRNA from 1 species
UACGGAGGGUGCAAGCGUUAUCCGGAUUCACUGGGUUUAAAGGGUGCGUAGGAGGGCAGGUAAGUCAGUGGUGAAAUCUCCAAGCUUAACUUGGAACUGCCGUUGAUACUAUCUGUCUUGAAUACCGUGGAGGUGAGCGGAAUAUGUCAUGUAGCGGUGAAAUGCUUAGAUAUGAACAUAGAACACCAAUUGCGAAGGCAGCUACGCUAACACGAAUAUUGACUCUGAGGCACGAAAGCGUGGGGAUCAAACAGG